AUCUAAGGCCUUACCACCCUGAACACGCCCAGUCUCGUCUGAUCUUGGAAGCUUAGUAGGGUUUGGGCCUGGUUAGUACUUGGAUGGGAGGAGCUUUUUUUC
rnacentral:rRNA from 1 species